rnacentral:rRNA from 1 species
AUUGAACGCUGGCGGCAUGCUUUACACAUGCAAGUCGAACGGCAGCGCGGGCUUCGGCCUGGCGGCGAGUGGCGAACGGGUGAGUAAUGCAUCGGAACGUGCCCAGUAGUGGGGGAUAGCCCGGCGAAAGCCGGAUUAAUACCGCAUACGACCUGAGGGUGAAAGCGGGGGACCGAAAGGCCUCGCGCUAUUGGAGCGGCCGAUGUCGGAUUAGCUAGUUGGUGGGGUAAAGGCUUACCAAGGCGACGUUCCGUAGCUGGUCUGAGAGGACGACCAGCCACACUGAGACUGAGACACGGCCCAGACUCCUACGGGAGGCAGCAGUGGGGAAUUUUGGACAAUGGGGGCAACCCUGAUCCAGCCAUGCCGCGUGCGGGAAGAAGGCCUUCGGGUUGUAAACCGCUUUUGUUCGGGAAGAAAUCCUCUGGGCUAAUACCCCGGGGGGAUGACGGUACCGGAAGAAUAAGCACCGGCUAACUACGU